UACGUAGGGGGCAAGCGUUGUCCGGAAUUAUUGGGCGUAAAGCGUGCGCAGGCGGUUCUAUAAGACAGAUGUGAAAUCCCCGGGCUCAACCUGGGAACUGCAUUUGUGACUGUAGAGCUGGAGUGCGGCAGAGGGGGAUGGAAUUCCGCGUGUAGCAGUGAAAUGCGUAGAUAUGCGGAGGAACACCGAUGGCGAAGGCAAUCCCCUGGGCCUGCACUGACGCUCAUGCACGAAAGCGUGGGGAGCAAACAGG
rnacentral:rRNA from 1 species